GAUGAACGCUGGCGGCGUGCCUAAUACAUGCAAGUAGAACGCUGAAGCUUGGUGCUUGCACCGAGCGGAUGAGUUGCGAACGGGUGAGUAACGCGUAGGUAACCUGCCUCUUAGCGGGGGAUAACUAUUGGAAACGAUAGCUAAUACCGCAUAAAAGUCGACAUCGCAUGAUGUUGACUUGAAAGGUGCAAUUGCAUCACUAAGAGAUGGACCUGCGUUGUAUUAGCUAGUUGGUGAGGUAACGGCUCACCAAGGCGACGAUACAUAGCCGACCUGAGAGGGUGAUCGGCCACACUGGGACUGAGACACGGCCCAGACUCCUACGGGAGGCAGCAGUAGGGAAUCUUCGGCAAUGGGGGCAACCCUGGCCGAGCAACGCCGCGUGAGUGAAGAAGGUUUUCGGAUCGUAAAGCUCUGUUGUAAGAGAAGAACGAGUGUGAGAGUGGAAAGUUCACACUGUGACGGUAACUUACCAGAAAGGGACGGCUAACUACGUGCCAGCAGCCGCGGUAAUACGUAGGUCCCGAGCGUUAUCCGGAUUUAUUGGGCGUAAAGCGAGCGCAGGCGGUUAGAUAAGUCUGAAGUUAAAGGCUGUGGCUUAACCAUAGUACGCUUUGGAAACUGUUUAACUUGAGUGCAGAAGGGGAGAGUGGAAUUCCAUGUGUAGCGGUGAAAUGCGUAGAUAUAUGGAGGAACACCGGUGGCGAAAGCGGCUCUCUGGUCUGUAACUGACGCUGAGGCUCGAAAGCGUGGGGAGCAAACAGG
rnacentral:rRNA from 1 species